rnacentral:rRNA from 1 species
ACGCUCGACACCUACGGGAGGCAGCAGUGGGGAAUAUUGGGCAAUGGGCGCAAGCCUGACCCAGCAACGCCGCGUGAAGGAAGAAGGCUUUCGGGUUGUAAACUUCUUUUGUCAGGGAACAGUAGAUGAGGGUACCUGACGAAUAAGCUCCGGCUAACUACGUGCCAACAGCCGCGGUAAUCNGAGCGGGCUGGCAAGGC